UUCCACUGAUUUGUAACUUUGGAAUUAACAAAUGAAUUGUUUUCCAGAAUAGCAGUGUCCAAAAAGAAGUUUUGUAUGU